GACGAACGCUGGCGGCGUGCUUAACACAUGCAAGUCGAACGAAGAGCGAUGGAAGCUUGCUUCUAUCAAUCUUAGUGGCGAACGGGUGAGUAACGCGUAAUCAACCUGCCCUUCAGAGGGGGACAACAGUUGGAAACGACUGCUAAUACCGCAUACGAUCUAAUCUCGGCAUCGAGGAAAGAUGAAAGGUGGCCUCUAUUUAUAAGCUAUCACUGAAGGAGGGGAUUGCGUCUGAUUAGCUAGUUGGAGGGGUAACGGCCCACCAAGGCGAUGAUCAGUAGCCGGUCUGAGAGGAUGAACGGCCACAUUGGGACUGAGACACGGCCCAGACUCCUACGGGAGGCAGCAGUGGGGAAUCUUCCGCAAUGGACGAAAGUCUGACGGAGCAACGCCGCGUGAGUGAUGACGGCCUUCGGGUUGUAAAGCUCUGUUAAUCGGGACGAAAGGCCUUUUUGCGAACAGUUAGAAGGAUUGACGGUACCGGAAUAGAAAGCCACGGCUAACUACGUG
rnacentral:rRNA from 1 species